rnacentral:lncRNA from 1 species
CACAAAAAAAAAAAAAAAAAAAAAAAAAAAAAAAAAAAAAAAAAAAAAAAAAAAAAAAAAAAAAAACUAAAACUCAAACCCCUUGGUGCAACUCUUCAACUCAGGUACGUGCAUGUCUGAUUCUUUUUUCAUCACUUAGCGUAGACAGAAGGAUUAGUGAGGAGGUAAUCUUCGACAGCCUUGAAAAGUUCCAUGGCUUGUUUCUUGCCUUCAUUGUGUUCUUCUUCCUUUAAAACAUAGUCACCUUUUGUGUGGUACUCAGUUUUUGUCUUGCAAACACAACCUCCAUUUCCAGCAGCUUCAAAUUUGAUAUCAUAGGUAAUUGAUUCCAAUUUGUCUCCAAGAACAUCACCUUCUAUAAGUGAAUAUUUUGUUACCAAAUUCUUGUCAUCAAUUGCAUGAAUCUUGUGCUUCAAGUACUUUAUUGGACCACCUGAUAUUAACAAAAAUAAUAUAAGUUUCGUAUAUUAUCGAUGUAACUAAUUUUUUAAGUUAAGUGAGUCAGGAUAUCUAUAGAUAUGUUAAAUGAACGAGUUGAAAUCUAUUGUAUUCUAUUAAAAACACAUCUAAAGUAUUCUAAUUUUUUGAGUUUUAUAUCUUCUUUUUUUAGUGAGUUUUAUAUCUAAACUAUCAAAUGUGUGAGUUUCUAUCACCAAAUAUUUAUCAAAAUAUACUUAAACUAUCCGUUGUUCAAUUUUUUUAUCUGAACAAUAAUGAUAUUUCAGGUAGAAAAAAUAGUUCAAAUGUGUUUCGAGAAAUAUUUGAUGAUAGUCCAUGUAUGGAACUCACAUGCAUAUCAAAACACACUUGAACUAUCAAUUUUUCACUUUUCUUAUUUGAUCAAUAGUGAUAUUUCAUGUAGAGAAAAUGAACGACUGAUAGUUCAAAUGUGUUUCGAGAAAUUUGAUGAUAGUCUAAGAUAGGAAACUCAUACACAUGAUAGUUCAAAUAUGAAACUCAAAAACUUGAUAUACUUUAAAUGUAUUUUUAACUCGUCACUCCAAUAUAAUAUAAUUAAUCGUAUACACUAACGAUAUACAAAAGAUAUUUAUACAAUCAGAUCGUUCAUUUAAACUAGCUAGGUAGUAAAAAUGAUAAAUGUAAAACUAAUUAUAUUACCUUCAACAAAGUUCAUCUUCUUGAUACUUCCAUCUCCCUCAGUCUCAACAUUCUUAACAUUUGGCAUCAAUUUAGGGAUAAGAUUGUCAGCAUCAACAACCAAAGCUUUGAACAACCUAGUAGGGGACACUGUGCUUGUGGCUUCAUGUGUAUAGGUAGUGACACCCAUAGUGUUAAUUUUCUUUCAACUUUUUUUUAGUAAUUAAAAAGAGAAUAUAUAUAAGAAGUGAAAUUAAUAUGCUAGCUAGUUUUGAGUUGUGGGAUGUAAUGUUUAAGUUUUAGAUGGUAUUUAUUUUUAUAGGGUAUAAAAUAGAGUGAGAGUUAAGAGUUUGAAGUCAUCACCAACCUUAGCUUUAAUGUUAAUUUCAAUAUUCAAAGUAGGCCAUUCUUGACCUCUAUAUUAUUUUUUCUAGAUGGUGAUGGUUAUCGCGUCGUAAGUAGUGAAAUUAGAAUUUAAAUUUUAUGCUUUAAAUUCAUUAUAUUUCGAAGUUAUGAGUUUAUACUAUCUAUUAUUUGUUGCACAUAAUUUUUAUGAAUUUAUUGUAUUUCACGUUAAAAAUAUUAGAUUCAAAUGAAUCUGUUACAUUCAUCUCUAUCACCGCUCUUAAUCGAAGUUUUUGAAUUAUGAAUUCUAAAGAUGAAAACAACUUUAUUCUUAAUCAGAUAUAUCUUAAAUUUGAUUCCUAAAUGAAGAUGAUUCUAAAAAAAAAUAUUUUUCUCUUUUAACAAACUUUACACUAUACAAAUUUUCAAAUUAAUCGAGAUUGAAAAUAAUAUCGAACAUCAGAUGAAAAAUGAAAAUAUAUAUUCCGGUUGCGUCACUUAGUUCAAAUUAAUUUGUUGGUUGUGGCGUUGGAUAACUUCAUGACAAAAUGGUCUAACAAUGAGGCCCGAUGACACAUUAAAGUAUACUCCAUAUCAAAAUUGUGUCAUAUAUAUCCAAAUGCUUUGUGUUUUUUCUUAGUAUUUAGAGUAAUAGAUAAUGAUAUUAAUUAAAAUCAAGAUAAAUUAUACAAAUAAAAUAAUUUUAAAUAAUAUUUGUUGAAUUUGGUUUUAAAUUAAACUUUGAUGGUAUGACUUUAUUACAAAAAAAUUGGGUAUUAUAAUUAUAAUAAAAAAUGAUUAUUGGACAUAAAAAAUUUGUGAAAGUGAAUAACUUUUUAUAUGAUACAAUUCAAAAGUUAAAGAAUUUUGUGUUUUUUUAUUUACAUAUUUUAUAAAUAUAAUAUUGUAUUUAGAUUUUAAUAUAAUCAAGACAAUCUACCUUGCUCAAGCGUUACUAACAAACGGACUCAGCCUGAGCUAUAAAAACUUUAUUUUUAGAUGGAUUCAAAAAAUAAAAAAUAAAAUUGUCCAACUUUAUUAAAUUACGAAUUGAUCUGGAUCGAUAUAACAAGUCAACAUAGUUGAUCAUUAAAUAUCUUUUAAAAAGUUUAAUUUGAAAAUAUAAAGUAAAAAAAAGUUACCUAACUUAUGAUAUUUUCACAUAAAAUAAGAUGAAUAAUAAUAAGUUAUUGCUUGUUGCCUUUUGGUAAUUGGGUGGGUAGGUGUGAAGGAUAAUAUAAAUUAAUUAAGGAUAUGGUUUUAAACGACUUUCCGCAUAUAGUUUCUGCAAACUGUUUUCUUUAUUUAUGUUUAGAAUAAAAAAUAAUUAUGAAUUUAAGUUAUAUAUAUAGUAAGUAUAAGAAAAUUUUAUAUUAUCAAUAUAUAUUUAUCUAUUAAUAUAAGUUAUAUGUUUUAUUUUUCAGAUUAUUUUUAAAUAUAUUUAAAUGAUCUAAUAAUAAUUUAUUAUCUUGAAAUAUUUUAUUUUGCCUUUUUUUUCGAACUCUUAUCGAUGUUUUUGUCUAAAAGUGAAAUCUUUUACAAGUGUAGAAAUAUUGACUAUAAGUAAAGCCAAUAUUGCUAAUGUGAAAGUAGGAAUUAUGUCAUGUUUGGAUGCAAAUUAUAAUAUAUAUCGUGCAACUCAUCAUAUACAUAUUCUAAUAUUAUUUAGGCGGAAUGACUUGGGAGACCCCUGUACUUGACUUCUUUUGUCAGUUGGACCCUCCUACCAUCACUUUGCCGAUCAAACCCUUAAACUCAUCAAAACACAAUAUUUUAAACUCCUCUGACCAUUGACCGAGCUUAUGUGACAUUAAUAUUGGUGAGUUGGAAAUAUGCGUGAUUACACGCGCUUAAAAACGAGUUAAAACAAUAUUUUACUUUUAAAAAAAUCAAUUUAACAAAAUUUUAAAAAAAAUCAUCUUCUUCAACCCUCCUUCACCCACACCCACCCUUUCUUCUUCUUCACCAGCCCUCUCUCCUCUACCCCUCACCACAGCCCUCACCUUUCUUCUUUCUCCGGCCCAUUCUUAUUUCUCCACCCCCACAUUCACUCUUCUCCGCCUCUUCUUCUUUUUUUUUUUUUUUAUACAAAUCAUUGUGAAGGAUGAUUGUGACUAUUGAAAAUUUUAAAACUCCAUUGAUAAGUUUGAAAAAGCUUAAAAAAUAAUAAAUGGGUCUUGUGAAUUUGUAAAAUUACUUAAAUUUUUUGAUUGGGGUUCAUUGAGUUUGUGUUGGUGAACUUGUAGUUGAAUUUACAAGUUAAAUCAAGAAGAAUUUGAUCUGAUGGGUAUGAAUCUAGUGCUCAAUUUGUGACCAAAUAUGAAGAAGAUGACUAUUUGAAAAGUUAAAGAAAUUAAAAAAUUGAUUUAUUUGAUUUUUUAAAUUUUUUUAGCACUUAAUUUCGCAUGUGGCACUAAAAAUGAUGUGGAAUUUCACGUGUAAUCGCGUCCAUUACACGAACUCUGACCAGAGGAGAAAAGGGUUUAAAAUGUUGUUUUCUAAUGAAUUUAAGGGUCUAGUUGGCAAAGUGAUGAGUAUGAGGGUUCAACUGACAAAAUGAGCCAAGUACAAGGGUCUUUCAGGUCAUUCUGCCUAUUAUUUAUACUAUUUUAAAAAUAUUUAUACUAAUUAGUAUGCUUGAGAUGUUGCACAUGUUUAAUAAAAGACAAUUAUUGGGAGAUCUCUAUUCUUAAUUAGAAAUCUCAAAUUUGAAUUGCCUUUUUGGAAAAAUAAUUUUUUUGUAGAGAGCAUCAUCUCUAGAAAAAGACCUGACAUUAUAUAAAUUUAAAUUUAAUCAGAUCCUAAUACGAAGAUCGAACAUGAAAAAAAUAAAAUCGUUCAUUCAUUAGAGACUGAAAGUUUUUUGCCUUGCGUUUACCCAACAAGUAUUGCUAAUUGAACCAUUAUUGAACUACAUAAAAUAUUUUAUUUGAAUAACUUUAAUAUUUCUUAGAUUAUGUUUAAUUUAUUAUUAUGAAAAUUAAUUAGUUUUGUCAUUUGAUUAUUUUAUAUUAUGUAUUACUAAUUUUUUUUCUCUUUUAUCAUAGUAAACAAAAAAAAAAGAAACUCUUAUCAGAUUGCUGUCUAGUCUAUUCCAUCUUUACUGACUCUUGUUGUGAUUAGGACAUCCAAAAUAUUUUCUCCAAAUUUGAGACCUAAUUUUAAUGUGGAACUUUGACAACGUCAAAGUAUGCAACGCCAUUAAUUUUGAUAUCUCAACAGAAUAUACCGAGUUCAAAUUCUAAAUUCACCUCUCUCCAUCUUCUAUAGGCUCGUUGAGAUAUCAGGAGAGAAAUAACUACAUACUCGGAUCCAUCAUCCAUGCUUAUUAGUUAUUAUGAUGAUAUCCUAAGAAGUAAGGAACUAUACUAUAGAUGGUCGAAAUUAGUUGUUUAUCACUCCUUUUGAUUCAAUUUAUGUGAUAUAGUUUGACUUGACACAAAAUUUAAGAGAACAUAAAAGACUUUUGAAACUUGUGAUCUAAAAUACGUUAUAAAUAUUUGUUGAAUAUACAAAUUUAGUGUUCCAAAAUCUCAAUAAUAAUGUUAGUUAGUAAAAUACACCUCUAAUUAAAUAUUUCGAGAUAUGUAAACGUCAACAAGGAUCAAGUAUUGUAAAACGGAGAAAAUAGGAUGAAUACUCACACAAAUAUAGACAUAUACUUUUUUUGUUGAAAAACCCCUAAAUUUGCCGUGAACUAUUAGUUUUGUUCCCAAACUAUUUUGACUGCCCGAAAAACACCUCUACUCAACUAACUGAACUUAGAGACGUUCAUAAUCUUGUCACAUGAGUAAAAUACACCCUUAAAUUCUCGUUAAGUUUAGUGGUGUUUUUAUUAAGAGUUUCAGAUUCCUAUACAAUUUUGAGACCACUUGCUAUGUCAUGUGAAAGAUCGGAAUAUAUUUAAAUUGAAUUAAUCAAAUAAAAAAGUGGUUUUAAAAUUGUCAAUAAUUUGAGAAUGAAACUAAUAAUUCAAUUCAAGUUUUGAAAAUUGUUGACGUCUUAAAAUUUUCACAAAUUGUGCCUUGGGCUUCAUAUAAUAUAAUUGAAAAGGAUAUAUCAAGGCUUGGUACAAGCAAAAAGAAAGCAAAGCUUUCAAUAUUAUUUAUUGGAAGUUCUUUCCAUGUCAUACAAUUGGAAAGAACAAAACACACAACAAAAAACUAUAACAAUGUAAAAACUCAAGCCCAUGGAACUUUUGAUCAAACUUUUUCGUCUCAGCUAAAAGUUUAAACUUUUUAGAAAUAACACACGUAUAUAUAAUUAUAUUUAAUUAUAUAAUAUCGCAACACGUCCUGAUCAUCUCUCACGUGUGGAUCUGAUUCAUAUUUCAUCACUUAAGCGUAGACAGAAGGAUUAGCAAGGAGGUACGCUUCGAUGGCCUUGAAUAGGUCAAUGGCUUUCCCUUUGCCUACAUUGUGUUCUUCUUCACUAACAACAUAAUCACCUUUUGUGUGAUACGUAGUUGUUGUCUUGCAAACACAACCUCCAUCUCCAGCAGCUUCAAAUUUGACAUCAUAGGCAAUUGAUUCCAAUUUGUCUCCAAGAACAUCACCUUCAAUAAGUGAAUAUUUUGUUUCUAAGUUCUUGUCAUCAAUCGCAUGAAUCUUGUGCUUCAAGUACUUAAUUGGACCACCUGUCAUUAAAAAAUAAAUAAAUUAAGUUUCAUAUAUAUCAUGAAUGUUAGUAAUAAUUUUUUACACUAUGAGGUUAUUCAAACAACAGGGUCAAAAUAGAUUGAGUUAAUAAAUAAACGAGUUAUUGAUCAGUUCAAAAGUUACUUAAGCUAAAAUAGACUAUCAUACGAGUCAUAUAACACAACAUGUCCAAUUAUUACUAGUUUUAGUUGCUUUGUUUGUUUUUUUUAUAUAAAUUUUUAUAGUACCUUGUAAAACUAUGUUAUGUUUUUCUUUAUUUUAACUGUGUAACAUAUCAAAUAAAAAAUUAUUCUAACAAAAGAGUUCUCAUGAGUUAAUUUAGACCGUAUAUUAGUUUAAUUUCUUACCGACUAAGCUAAUAGACGAGUAGGUCAAUAACUUUCCCAAACUCGGGUGGAUUAGACAUGUUAGGUUGAUGAACUAACUAUGUCACCUCUCUCUAUAGGUAUGUCUUUUAAUAAUAUGAGAUUUUGACAAAUUUCAGGUUCAUUAUGAAUAUCGAACAUCAAAUCGAAAAAAAUUAUGAUUUAACCAAGAUCAUAAAUUUAAAACAAACCUUCAACAAAGUUCAUUUGCUUGAUGCUUCCAGCACCACCAUCUCCCUCAACAACCUCAAUGCUCUUAACAUCAUGUGACAACAAUUUAGGUACAAGGCUGUCAAAAUCAAGAACCAAACCUUUGAAUAGCCUUGUUGGGGCAAUUGUGGUUGUGGACUCAUGAGUAAAAGUAUUCACACCCAUAAUGUUUGAUUAAAUAUUUGCCUUUUGAAAAAAAAAUGAAAGAGAAAGGAUAAGAUGAAUAUAAUGCUUUGAAGUGUGUGUGAUAUAAUGAAAGUUUUAGAUGGUAUUUAUAGGACAAAAAUGGAGUGAGAUUUGGUUGAUUAUUAUUUUAGUUUUGUCCCUACCUUGAAAAGUCAUAUAAAUAUAAAUCUUUGGACAAGUGGUUUACAAUUACUCGUAUUCAGUAUAAGUAAAAACUGUUCAAAUCUUUUGGAUUUAUCCUAUUACUCAUAAUCCAAAAAGACGAAUAUAUCAAACAAAAAAAAUAAAUUAUUUUUUAAUGAUUAUAAAAUUUUAAAUUAAGAUGAAUCGUUAAAUCUUAAUCUAAAAGGUGUAUAAGUAGUUGGAAAAAUUUGGUGAAAUUUUAGAAUUCUAUGUCAUGAGCAACCUUAGCUUUAGUAUUAAUUUCAACAUUCAAAGCAGUGCAAUGUUGACAAUUGUGUCCAUUUUUUAUUUUAUUUUUUCUACAUGUUGUGUCACUAUCUUUGAUAAUUAAUUUUGUUAGUUGUGGCAUUGUGAGAAUUUUAUGCCAUUAUGGUCGAUAAAAAUAAGGCUUGCUGACACGAUAUUAAGUUGAUUGGACCGUAGGAACCUACCAACGUGGUAGUGCUUUUCCAGUGUCCUUCUUAUUAGAAUUCGAUUAAAUACAAAUUCGUACAGAAAAGUCUUACAUUAGGAUAAAAGGUAUUCUAACAUAGGUGAUUUUGUAUUCUGAGUAACUCAAAUCCAUAACUGUUGAUUAAAGAUGAAGGAGUACUUACCAAUCUACAACAACCCUUAUUGAUAGUUCUAUUAAGUCUGAAAGUACAAAAGAACGUUCAUUUCCUGAUAUUAUUAUCAAUCAAUACUAAUUGCUUGAAUUCAAAAUUAUCUAAUUUCACGAGUUUGAGCUUUAUAAUAUCAUGAUAGGUGUUUUUAUUUAUAUAAAUAUAUAUAUUUAUAUUCAAUAUUGUUUAUAGUUAUAUCAUAAUAAUUUAUUUGAUUAAACUUUAAAUCGAUCAUGCUUGCUUUGGAAAAAACCAUUUCGAGAAAAGUAAUUUUCUACAAAGUUUAAAUAUAACCCAAAUUUAAUAAUUAACUUUAUAUGCUAAAAUUUAAUACUUUCCGUCCAAUUUUGGUUAUCAUGAUUUUCUUUUCUAGAGUGAAAUGAUAAGAAUUUUGACUAAUAUUUUAUGAUGUAUUUUUUUCAUUAUAUUGAUAUGUAAAAAAUUGCAAUUUAUAGUACUUUUUGAAUAGUUUUUGAAUAUCUAAAUUUUUUGUUUAAAAUAUCAAAUUAAUGUUAUCUAAUUUAACUUUAAAAAUUAGUUAAAUUGAUUUUUGAAAAACGCAGCACGACAAAUAAAAGUGGAUAGAGGGAGUAUUAUAUUAUGUAUAAAUAAUAUUAUAUUUGAUAUAGUUGGUUAGGAAUAAUUUUUAUAAUAUGAUGUAUAGUUUUGCAAUUUAAAAAUUCGAACAUCUUGAUAUAUGUGUAAAUUACGGGGAAAUUUAUAUAUUUAAUAUUAUUUUAUGAAAAAUAGGGGACAAAAUAAAUAAUAGAAUAAUACAAUAAUAUAUAUACCUAGUUGCAGCAAGAUUUAGAAAAACGUUGUAUAUUUCUAUCUCAUCAAAUAUAAAAUAACAUGAACAUGCUAUAUUACCUUUAUCUUAUUCUAAAUUUCUAAUAACACUAUAUGCAAUCAAACAUGACCUUUAGUCAUCGAUAUAAAUUAGAAUGAAUUGAAAUGGUUAUAAUUGCACCAUCUUAAUAUUAAAUCUCGAGAUUUAAGCUAUAGAUUUUUUUAAAAAAAAUUAUUAAAAUUAAUGCCCUCAAAAUAAGCCUGCAAAUAGAAAUUUGAAUUAAUCAAAUUUCAAUUCACGUAGAAAAUAUGACCUUUGUUAGUUCUUUUUAAAUCGAUAGUAGAAAGGUUGAGUGCAUACAAAAUCGCCACUUUCACAUUACCAAUUGGUUUUUACUUAGUCAAGAUUUCAUCAACUCCAAAGAUUUUAGUAUAAGACAAUGUUUGGCUUAGUCAAUAAGAUGUAGACAUUUAAAAGAUUUUUCUGAGAGGGGACAAAGAUAUAUAGUAUAUAGUACUAUAUACUAUAUAGUUUAUAUUAUCUUUAGAAAAAUCUUUUAAAUGUCUACAUCUUAUUGACUAAGCCAAACAUUGUCUUAUACUAAAAUCUUUGGAGUUGAUGAAAUCUUGACUAAGUAAAAACCAAUUGGUAAUGUGAAAGUGGCGAUUUUGUAUGCACUCAACCUUUCUACUAUCGAUUUAAAAAGAACUAACAAAGGUCAUAUUUUCUACGUGAAUUGAAAUUUGAUUAAUUCAAAUUUCUAUUUGCAGGCUUAUUUUGAGGGCAUUAAUUUUAAUAAUUUUUUUUAAAAAAAUCUAUAGCUUAAAUCUCGAGAUUUAAUAUUAAGAUGGUGCAAUUAUAACCAUUUCAAUUCAUUCUAAUUUAUAUCGAUGACUAAAGGUCAUGUUUGAUUGCAUAUAGUGUUAUUAGAAAUUUAGAAUAAGAUAAAGGUAAUAUAGCAUGUUCAUGUUAUUUUAUAUUUGAUGAGAUAGAAAUAUACAACGUUUUUCUAAAUCUUGCUGCAACUAGGUAUAUAUAUUAUUGUAUUAUUCUAUUAUUUAUUUUGUCCCCUAUUUUUCAUAAAAUAAUAUUAAAUAUAUAAAUUUCCCCGUAAUUUACACAUAUAUCAAGAUGUUCGAAUUUUUAAAUUGCAAAACUAUACAUCAUAUUAUAAAAAUUAUUCCUAACCAACUAUAUCAAAUAUAAUAUUAUUUAUACAUAAUAUAAUACUCCCUCUAUCCACUUUUAUUUGUCGUGCUGCGUUUUUCAAAAAUCAAUUUAACUAAUUUUUAAAGUUAAAUUAGAUAACAUUAAUUUGAUAUUUUAAACAAAAAAUUUAGAUAUUCAAAAACUAUUCAAAAAGUACUAUAAAUUGCAUUUUUUUGCAUAUCAAUAUAAUGAAAAAAAUACAUUAUAAAAUGUUAGGCAAAGUUUUUAUAGUUUGACUAAAAAAAAAACUAUGACAAUUAAAAAUAGACGGGGUUAAUAUAUGUAUAACUCACCUCAAAUGAACUAUACAUACCUCUAUUAAUUUUUAUGCCUUGAAAAUUGAGGUGGAUCGAAAUUCCACAUCUCGACAAAAAAGUUUUUCUUUCAAAUCAAAGUGGGAAAUCAAUUAUUUUUAGUAUUUCCUCACUUAAUUGUGACUCUGAUAAUAUAAGGAAAAAUCAUUUUGGCCAGAAAAUUUAGCUAGAAUUGGCCAGAAUAAUAUUUUAUCUUUUUAAAUAUUUUUAUCCUUUUAACUUUUAAAAAAUUAAAAAAAGAUCAGUUUAUUUUAAAAUAAAAAAGAUAUCAGAAACUUUUUAAAUUUUUGUUCUGACCAAAUUUUCUGGCAAUUUAACAUUACCCAUAAUAUAAUACUGUUUGGCGAAACUUUUAAGAAUCUAAUUGUUUUGAAAAGUAUUUUUUAUUACAAUUUUUUAUGAAAGUUUUGAACUUUUGAGGAAUGGUAGUUUCUACUUGAUCGAUCAAUUUGAAAAGCAGUUCUUUAUUAAUUAAAACGGUAAUUUAUGUUUGGUCAAGAUUUUAAAAUGAGUUUAAGUUUUGUGCAUCGUCGGUGUAAAAAAAUUUCUACACCAUCAUUAGUUCCUUUUAAUGAGAUUUAACCAUAGUAACUUAUUUUAAUAAAAUAACCAUAAUUCAUGAAAAAGGAAAAUCAACAAUUUACUUUAAAAAAAGAACAUCAACAGGUAGUUGAAUCAUACUUGGAUUCUAACCAAAAUUAUUUCCAUAAUUAAUUAUUCUUUUUUCAAAGUUAAUUACAAUUACUAUGUUUAUCGUAGGUUUUUCACUUUUUUCUAUAGCUCUUGUAAUUCUUCACAGCAUCAAACUUUUUCACAACAUCAAACAUUGUCAACCGACAACCGAUAAGAAAUAAUUUUUAAAGUGUCAAACAAUUUUGAAACUUGACACGCUUCUUCUACUUAGUGAUAUAUCGUCAUGCAAUUAGAAAAAAUUUCACAUUUUUCUCAUUUAGAAACAUAAAAAAGGCCCUUUUAAACAUAUCUUCACGAGCAAAAGAAUUUCAAUGCACUAAAAACAAGCGAACAUAGUCUCCUGAAAGGUGAAUAUUGUAUCUUAAAGUGUUUUCAUAUUGUCCCCAAUACUUGAGCUCUGUUCUUUAGAUUAUUGGGAAGGAGUUUAUUUAUUGAACUUUCACUAAUAUUAAAUAUAUUUUACAGUAAACGUGUUGACUAUUUAUAUGAUCAGAUUUAUAAUUAAUUGUAAGCUAUCUAACAUUUAUAAUUGUAAUUUGCAAGAUUAAUGGAAAAGUUAAACGUAGAUGAGCAAAAUAUAAGAGUUGAAGUUCCCUGAGAAGAAAGUGACGUACUUUGGAAGAAAAUAAUUUAGUUAUGAAAAUAAUUUUGGUUAGAAUCCAAGUCUGAUUCAACUACCUUGUUGAUGUUUUUUUUAGUAAAUGUUAUUUUAUUAAUACUAUGGUUAAAUCUCAUUAAAAGUAACUGAUGGUGUAAAAAAUUUUGUACACUGACGAUGCACAAAACUUAAACUCUUUUAAAAUUACUCUUUCAAUUUUUUUUCGUAUCUAUUUUUAUUCACGUACGUGUUUCUUAGUGAAUUAUGUAUAAUAAUGCAUAUAGUUUUUGUCACUAUUUUUUACAUGGUCCUUCUACAUUGCUAUUUGCUCCAUCUAAGUAUGCUUGUACGUGUAGUGCAAAUAACAACAACAGAACUCACCAAUCUAUCAACGAGGGUUGUGGUGGAGUGAUAACUGAUAAAUACUCAUUCAUCCUUAAUCAGAAGUCUCGGGUUCGAGUCCCCCAGAGUAAAAUAUUCUUUAUUGAAAGUUCUUUCCAUGACAUACACUUGGAAAACACACAACACACAACAAAAAACUAUAACAAUGUAACACUCAUCAAGCCCUUGGAAGAAUUGAAACAACUCCAUAUAUCAAUCAUUCAACUUUUACGUCUCUCAUCUAAGAGUUUAAACUUCUUAGAAAUAACACACACAUUUUAAAUUAUUUAAUAUCACAACACGUACGUGAUCUCUCACGUGUAGACCUGAUUCUUUUUCAUCAAUAUUUAAGCGUAGACAGAAGGAUUCGCGAGAAGGUAUGCUUCUACAGCCUUGGAAAUAUUCAUGAUUCUCUCUUUGCCUACAUUGUGUUCUUCUUCAGUAACAACAUAAUCACCCUUUGUGUGAUACUCAGUUGUUGUCUUGUAAACACAACCUCCAUUAUCAUAAGCUUCAAAUUUGAUAUCAUAGGUAAUUGAUUCCAAUUUGUCUCCAAGAACAUCACCUUCUAUAAGUGAAUAUUUUGUUUCUAAGUUCUUGUCAUCAAUCACAUGAAUCUUGUGUUUCAAGUAUUUAAUUGGACCACCUGCCAUCAACAAAAAAUAAUAAUUAAGUUUCAUAUAUUAAUAAUAUCGGUGCUAUCAGAUCAUUCGAAGAAUAAUAUCUAUAGACUAUAGGUACAUGUGUUAACUAAAUGAGUUGGAUUGAAUUUGAGCAGGUCAAAUUAGAUUAAGUUAAUAUAUAAAUGAUCGAAUUAUUGAUCCGUCCAAAAAUUGCUUGUACUAAACUGAUCUAUAAUAAAAGUCACAACCAACCUAUCGAAUUAUUAUUAGUUUUAAUUGCUUUAUUUAUUCAUUUAUAGUUUUUUAGUACCUUAUAUAAGUAUUUUCUUUGAAAAUAUUCUGAUAAGAUUUUUCAUGAGUCAAUUUAGAUUAUAUAUUAAUCCAAUAUUUGAUGGGCUCAUGAGCUAAUAAAUGAGUUGGUCAAUAACUUGUCCGAACGUGAGUGAGUUGGGCGGGUUAUAUUUUUGUGGACUAAAUUUGUUACCUCUAUUGAUAGAUAUGUCUUCUAAUAGCAUGCGAUUUGAAAUCUUGAAAGUAAGAUAUGUUAUUGUUACAAUAUGUAAAGAUGAUAUGGUAGUGUAAAAAUUAUUUUCAAAAACAAGCUUUUGCCCAAAGAAAAUAAAAGUUCAUCUAAGUAAUCAGUAUGUCGAGCUCCAAUAAAAAUAACAGACACCGAGUGAAGAAAAAAAAACAUAAAACAAACCUUCAACAAAGUUCAUUUGCUUGAUGCUUCCAACACCACCAUCUCCCUCAAUAGUCUCAUUGUUCUUAACAUGUUGUGACAACAAUUUAGGUACAAGGUUGUCAAAAUCAAGAACCAAAGCUUUGAAUAGUCUUGUAGGGGAAAUUGUGGUCGUUGACUCACAAGUAUAGGUAUUCACACCCAUGAUGUUUUUUUGAUUUAUAUUUGCUUUUGAACAAAAAGGAAAUUAAAAGAGCUAAGGAUAAGAUGAAUU